UACAGAGGGUGCGAGCGUUAAUCGGGAUUACUGGGCGUAAAGCGUGCGUAGACGGUUAUUUAAGUCGGGUGUGAAAGCCCCGGGCUCAACCUGGGAAUUGCAUUCGAGACUGAAUAGCUAGGGUACGGGUAGAGGGAAGCGGAAUUUCCGGUGUAGCGGUGAAAUGCGUAGAUAGUCGUGAGGAACACCAGAGGCGAAGGCGGCUACCUGGACAAUUGCUGACACUCAGGCACGAAAGCGUGGGGAGCAAAAGGG
rnacentral:rRNA from 1 species